GACGAACGCUGGCGGCGUGCUUAACACAUGCAAGUCGAACGGAAAGGCCCUGCUUUUGUGGGGUGCUCGAGUGGCGAACGGGUGAGUAACACGUGAGUAACCUGCCCUUGACUUUGGGAUAACUUCAGGAAACUGGGGCUAAUACAGGAUAGGAGCUCCUGCUGCAUGGUGGGGGUUGGAAAGUUUCGGCGGUUGGGGAUGGACGCGCGGCUUAUCAGCUUGUUGGUGGGGUAGUGGCUUACCAAGGCUUUGACGGGUAGCCGGCCUGAGAGGGUGACCGGGCACAUUGGGCCUGAGAUACGGCCCAGACUCCAACGGGGGACAGCAGUGGGGAAUAUUGCACAAUGGGCGGAAGCCUGAUGCAGCAACGCCGCGUGCGGGAUGACGGCCUUCUGGUUGUAAACCGCUGUCGCCUGUGACGAAGCGGGAGUGACGGUAAUGGGUAAAGAAGCACCGGCUAACUACGUG
rnacentral:rRNA from 1 species